UCGUGCUAAACUCGUAAAAGCCCGCAUAGCGAAGUGUGCAUCUGCAAUGCAAAUGGUUUGCACACGCUCUGAGAUUUGUGACAGAAUAGUUGCUCUAAAAUUUUGAAAACAACAAAAAAAUUAAACGUAUUUCUUUCUAGAUAAAAAUAUUAUUGUUCAUUACUCGUUUACGUUUUUUAAGAAAUGUACAACACUUUUAUAAUAUAUUUACAGUUGUGUGACAAAUGUGUUUAUGUUUAAUUAUCCAAUUUUUUGAAACAAAUAAUGUUAGGGUUAUUAUAAUCACCCUAAAAAUAUAAUCAUAUAAAUGCUUGGUGGUAACUUAAGAUAGAUUUGUUUUGUGGUGUUUUCCUUAACAUAACUAUGAAUAGUUGAAUUAUUCACGUUUCACAUUUUUCAACCAAAUGCUAUUUUAUUAAAACCUUAGCAGAGUGCCAGUAAAUAAAACCUACUAUAUUUAAAUUGUUGUACCAUGUAUAAUAACAAAGUAGUUGGAAAGUUAACAUAAAAUAACAUCAGCUAACUUAUUACUAUAAGUAAUUAAAAUUAUUAUUGGCUUAAAAGAUGUUAAUACACUAGUUAUAAAUUAGUUUAAUAUAAAACAAAAGUGUCGGUAUGAACUGUCAACAAGAAGUAAAAAUAUUCUCAGCAAGUCACAAAUUUACAGGUACCACGUAUGUUUUCCUUGUCUUUUCUUUCGCUACCUUAUCAGAUAACACAUGUCUAUACAUCAAUCCAAGUUAAUUAUCACAAUCGGGUUUCCCCUGAUGGAAAGCCUUUGUUUAGUUGAUGGAUUCGUCGCUGAAAUUCAAUAGCUCUCUCGGCUAAUGGACAAUAUUGCGACAGUUAUAGGACACCUGAGGUAUCGCAUCGGAUCUAUUUCGAUACUUUAUAUAGAUGAAAGAGCGAUAUCUAGUUAAUAGGGCAGGUGGACUUUAUCAAAAGUUAACGUGUUCAAAUUCAAACUUGUCAUAGCAGCCACAAUGGAAUUUAUUGUUCUCGGAACUAAGAUUUUGAAGACUGAACUUAUUCAAUAAACUUCCCUCAAGUUAUUGAAGAAUUAAACAGGAAAUUUAAUGGAAACAUUGUUCAAAAUACAACCGCAUUAAACAGUAGUAAUGUAAUAAAUAUACGUAAGAUUAAUAUGAA